UGACCUCUGUAGACUUGUGUUGGUAUGUGACCUAGAACUGUAAAUGCUCUGGAAGAUGUUAGAUGAUCCAUGAUAGCCCACUGAUGAGUUCCCACCUCUGGUUUGCGCUCCUGCAUGUUCUUUGUGGGUUCCUUCCAUUCUUAUUAUCCCGUGUGGUGUUGAAAAGGAUCCUUAGCCAGAUACCUCUAAAGAAGCAGAUGCUCUCCUUCCACGCUCCGUAUCUCUGGAGUGGAUUUCCUUUUUUUUUUUUCCUUCCCUAUUUCUUAAUAUGUAAUUAAAAAAAUAUGUAUUGAUCACUAGUACAGGUUGCAACACCUGGAGAAACAGAUGAGAAGAUUGAAGUUGCAGAAUCACGGAAUCAUAAAGGUUGGAAAAGACUUCUAAGAUCACCAAGUCCAACUCCCACUCCAUCCCCACCAUGCUCGCUAAGCUAUGGCAUUGAAUGCUGCAUCUCCAUGUUUCUUGAGCACCUCCAAGGACAGUGACUCUGCGACCUCCUUUGGCAGUCUGUUCCAGUGCCUCGCUACUCUUUCUGACAAGAAAUUCUUCCAAAUAUCCAACCUGAACCUCCCCUGGCACAACUUGAGGCCAUUACCUCUCUGUUCAUCUGUAUAUCACUGUUAACUGCGAAAAGGCCAACCCCCACCUCACUACAGUGUCCUUUCUGGCAGUUGCAGAGAGUGGUAAAGUCUUCUCUGAGCACAUUGGGAACCCUGAAAGCCCAUGAGAAGUGGCUCUAUUGAUCAGGGCUUAGUCUGAAUUUCAUACUGUGAUGGCUUGCAGCAAAUGCCUGUAUGUAGAUUUACUGAUGAGAUAGAGAAAUACAAAAGGUGGAGAGAGAGGACAGCAGGUUUUCUGCUCUGUCCCCAGUGCUUACGUGUCACUGUGUGUGCAGUCAGCCCUUCAGUUCUUGACCUCGGGCCCAGCAAGGCAGGAAGCUGAAGCAGGAGCGUGCUGUGGUUAGCAUGGGCUCUCAGAGGGCUGCGGUCAACAUCACCCUGAUGAAAGAUGCGAUAGUGUUCACAGAGGGCUUUGCAUUAUAUCCCACCACAUGUCAUCACAGGAAGUAGCUGCUGCCUGUGAUGGUGAGGUGUCUGUGCAGGUGGGCUGCUGCCUCGGCAAAGUCUCCUGCUCCCCCCCAGCUGUUGGAGCAGAUGAAGCUCUUGCAUGGACAGAUGAAACAUCAUUUUGAUUAAGAGGGAAAUAAAAGCUUUGCUUGAUCCUAAAAUUGGCCAAGCUCAGCUCUUGGAGCUUGUAGUGUCAUUAAAUUCACCAAGCAAGAAACACCUCUUGGGAGCAGCGCAGGGAGAAGGAACAGGAUUUUACCCAUCUGUUUAUUCAUUUCUGCUCAUAAACUAAAUCUUCUCAUUUCCUGACACCGUUUUCAUUGCGUCAUGUUCUUAAAUACCCGCAGAAAGGUGGCAAAAAUGAUUUCAUCUGCAUGUUAAUAUGGAGUACACGUUAAACCAAUACUGAUGCUUUUUGUUCAGAGACACACAAGAAAGGGCUAAGUUAUCUUCCGGCAAAGGAAGAAAUUAGUAGAUCUUGAAUUAACAGAUUAUGUGUGUCCAAGCCCUUGAGGACUUCCAGUUUAGCUCAUCUGUGAAAGCUCACAUGCUCCACUGGCUGAGCUGCCCAAACACAGCCCGAAGGCCCAAACAAGGCUUUCCAUCACCAAGUCUGCAGCAAAUCAGAUGGACAGAGGUUGCACAUGGGUUUUUCCUACUUUACUUUUCAGAUUUAAUUUUGAUACAAUUAGAUUGCACACGCAUCUGCAACUGUUACAUGAUUUGAAAGUUGCAGGCAUACUUAGAAGCAAAUAUCUCUGUCACCAUCAUUUUCACCUACUUCUUUGGCAGCAGCCCUUCAGCCUCCCCAAUGAAGACCUCUGAUUCAUCCUUACCCAUCCAGCACCCCCUGGUCUGGCUGCACCCCAGCACUGAGCUUCAGCCCUUCUUGGCUAGCUGUGCCCAGUGGCAUCAAGUAGAGGACAUUUUCCUCCUCCUGAGCUUCUCAUCAAUGAAAUAACAAGUCUUACAGCAAGGGUCGUGCUACAGUCUGCAUCUGCAACAUGAUGACAGCUGUGCAAAAGCUGUGGUUGGAAGGUAUCAAUGCAAGCACUGCAGUGGUGAAAAUGGGGCAGGACCUGUUACGCCAAGCAUACCCCAAACCCAUGGAGAUCAUAUGCAGCCUGAAUUGCAGGAGGAAGCCCCAAAACCCGUGAUGAACCUUGAAAAUCUGUGAGCAAAGGGCUGGGUUACAUGAAGAUGAGUGACCCAACCAAGGGAGAAUCAUAGCCCAGUGCUGCAUAUCCAGCUCCUGGACACAGCAAAUUGCUGCCGGUGCCCAAGAGACAUUGGGAAUGGAAGAAUAAGCCUUUCCCACCAUGUUGGAUCUCCACGGAGAAGACCAAGCUCUGGUCUGAUGAUGACUGCUCUGAUUUCUCCUACCUGGGAGCAAGCAACCAAGACAAUCUCAUUAAAAAAUGUGAAUAUUGCCAUCAGGUGAAAUAUAAUAGAACUAUAGUGUCAUGGAAUGGUUUUGGUUGGAAGUAAC
rnacentral:lncRNA from 1 species